CAGUUAGAAUAAUCAUUCAGAGUAGAAGCUAUGGAGCUACAGAUUAAAUAUAUAUGUGUGUGUAUAUAUGCAUAUAUAUGUAUGUGUGUAUAUAUAUGUGUGUGUGUUCUUAUCUUAUAAACUAGCCAGCACCAGGAACGUAGCUCAGGGAUAAGAGUUCUUACUUGUGGGGCUGGAGAGAUAGCUCAGAGGAUUAAGAGUACUGGGUGUUCUUCCAGAGUACCUGAGUUCAAAUCCCAGCACCCACAUGGCAGCUUACAACUGUCUGUAACUCCUGUUCCAGGUGAUCUGACCCUGUAAGGAACAUGUUAAGACCUAGGGUGAACAACCCUGGUCAGGAGUGAUAAGGAAUAGAAUGACGUAAAUAAACCACAAAUGGAAGUAGUGAUAAGCUAUGUGUGGCAGUAGUGAUAAGACUAGAAACCUAGCCAGAAGAGGUAUAAAGGAGGAAGCCUCAGACACGACCAACAGAGCUCGUCAGACCCUCGGAUGAGCCGACUCCUCUCUGCCAGAGACAUGAGAUCCUGUCCUCAGCUCAGGUGAGGUUGACCACAGGAAAGCUGACCCGAGAUCCAGAGGAACUGGGGAGUCCGGACCUGUACACCCAGAGAGGUCCUUUCCAGAUGUGUGUAAGAGUCUAGGGCCGCGAAGUGGGAGGACUGCUCAGCUGUCUGGGAACCUGUCUCUGAAGCAAAUCAAGAUGUGAACUGAAGUUCCAGAAGAGUCACCCUGUGCUGAGCGUCCUACAAAGCCACUGGCGGGGUGCCACAACCCCCAUACACAGCUCUUGGAGAGCUCCACACCUGAUCUGGUCCCGCCUGAGCGGCUACGAAAGGCGCCCUGAUGGAGGGAAAUUUGCACCACUAUAAAUCCUUGCCUCAAGAAAUGCUCCAAGCGAUUUUAUCACCCGGCAACUUCAAUCUGCAUGACAAGACAUCCUUUAUUCACACCUUAAUCCCUUCUCUCUAGCCUCCCAAACUUCUCUCUGCAGACUCCAGCGGUCUCUAGGCCCCCACUGGAAGGACACUGACCCCCAACCUUCAGCCCUGCUUUGCUGUGGUUUUGGUGGGAUUCUGCAUAUGUGCAUACUUAAACUGUUUUUCU